rnacentral:rRNA from 1 species
CCUACGGGAGGCAGCAGUGAGGAAUAUUGGUCAAUGGACGAGAGUCUGAACCAGCCAAGUAGCGUGAAGGAUGACUGCCCUAUGGGUUGUAAACUUCUUUUAUAUGGGAAUAAAAUGUUCCACGUGUGGGAUUUUGUAUGUACCAUAUGAAUAAGGAUAGGCUAACUCCGUGCCAGCAGCCGCGGUAAUACGGAGGAUCCGAGCGUUAUCCGGAUUUAUUGGGUUUAAAGGGAGCGUAGGUGGAUUGUUAAGUCAGUUGUGAAAGUUUGCGGCUCAACCGUAAAAUUGCAGUUGAAACUGGCAGUCUGGAGUACAGUAGAGGUGGGCGGAAUUCGUGGUGUAGCGGUGAAAUGCUUAGAUAUCACGAAGAACUCCGAUUGCGAAGGCAGCUCACUGGACUGCAACUGACACUGAGGCUCGAAAGUGUGGGUAUCAAACAGGAUUAGAUACCCCAGUAGUC